GACGAACGCUGGCGGCGUGCCUAAUACAUGCAAGUAGAACGCACAGUUUAUACCGUAGCUUGCUCCACCAUAGACUGUGAGUUGCGAACGGGUGAGUAACGCGUAGGUAACCUGCCUGGUAGCGGGGGAUAACUAUUGGAAACGAUAGCUAAUACCGCAUAAUAUUAAUUAUUGCAUGAUAAUUAAUUGAAAGGUGCAAUUGCACCACUACCAGAUGGACCUGCGUUGUAUUAGCUAGUAGGUGAGGUAACGGCUCACCUAGGCGACGAUACAUAGCCGACCUGAGAGGGUGCUCGGCCACACUGGGACUGAGACACGGCCCAGACUCCUACGGGAGGCAGCAGUAGGGAAUCUUCGGCAAUGGACGAAAGUCUGACCGAGCAACGCCGCGUGAGUGAAGAAGGUUUUCGGAUCGUAAAGCUCUGUUGUAAGAGAAGAACGGGUGUGAGAGUGGAAAGUUCACACUGUGACGGUAUCUUACCAGAAAGGGACGGCUAACUACGUG
rnacentral:rRNA from 1 species